rnacentral:rRNA from 1 species
UACGUAGGGCGCAAGCGUUGUCCGGAAUUAUUGGGCGUAAAGAGCUCGUAGGCGGCUUGUCACGUCGGAUGUGAAAGCCCGAGGCUUAACCUCGGGUCUGCAUUCGAUACGGGCUAGCUAGAGUGUGGUAGGGGAGAUCGGAAUUCCUGGUGUAGCGGUGAAAUGCGCAGAUAUCAGGAGGAACACCCGUGGCGAAGGCGGCUCACUGGCCCGGUACUGACGCUGAGGUGCGAAAGCGUGGGGAGCAAACAGG